rnacentral:rRNA from 1 species
UACGAAGGGGGGCUAGCGUUGUUCGGAAUUACUGGGCGUAAAGCGCACGUAGGCGGCUUCUUAAGUCAGGGGUGAAAUCCUGGAGCUCAACUCCAGAACUGCCUUUGAUACUGGGAGGCUCGAGUCCGGAAGAGGUGAGUGGAACUGCGAGUGUAGAGGUGAAAUUCGUAGAUAUUCGCAAGAACACCAGUGGCGAAGGCGGCUCACUGGUCCGGUUCUGACGCUGAGGCGCGAAAGCGUGGGGAGCAAACAGG